rnacentral:rRNA from 1 species
GACGAACGCUGGCGGCGUGCUUAACACAUGCAAGUCGAGCGGAAAGGCCACUUCGGUGGUACUCGAGCGGCGAACGGGUGAGUAACACGUGAGUAAUCUGCCCCUCACUUUGGGAUAGCCACCGGAAACGGUGAUUAAUACCGGAUAUGACCAUAUGUCGCAUGGCGUGUGGUGGAAAGUUUUUCGGUGAGGGAUGUGCUCGCGGCCUAUCAGCUUGAUGGUGAGGUAAUGGCUCACCAUGGCUUCGACGGGUAGCCGGCCUGAGAGGGUGACCGGUCACACUGGGACUGAGACACGGCCCAGACGCCUACGGGAGGCAGCAGUGGGGAAUAUUGGACAAUGGGCGGAAGCCUGAUCCAGCAACGCCGCGUGAGGGAUGACGGCCUUCGGGUUGUAAACCUCUUCCAGUACCGACGAAGCGCAAGUGACGGUAGGUACAGAAGAAGCACCGGCCAACUACGUG